AGUGAACGCUGGCGGCAGGCCUAACACAUGCAAGUCGAGCGGCAGCGCGGGGGCAACCCUGGCGGCGAGCGGCGGACGGGUGAGGAAUUCGUCGGAAUCUGCCUUUUUGUGGGGGAUAACGUAGGGAAACUUACGCUAAUACCGCAUACGUCCUACGGGAGAAAGUGGGGGACCGCAAGGCCUCGCGCAGAAAGAUGAGCCGACGACCGAUUAGCUAGUUGGUGGGGUAAAGGCCCACCAAGGCGACGAUCGGUAGCUGGUCUGAGAGGAUGAUCAGCCACACUGGGACUGAGACACGGCCCAGACUCCUACGGGAGGCAGCAGUGGGGAAUAUUGGACAAAGGGCGCAAGCCUGAUCCAGCCAUGCCGCGUGUGUGAAGAAGGCCUUCGGGUUGUAAAGCACUUUUGUCCGGAAAGAAAUCCCUGGAGCUAAUACCUUCGGGGGAUGACGGUACCGGAAGAAUAAGCACCGGCUAACUUCGUG
rnacentral:rRNA from 1 species